GGAGGGUGCAAACGUUGCUCGGAUUUACUGGGCGUAAAGCGCAUGCAGGCGGUCUGCAAAGUUCCGUGUGAAAGCCCUGGGCUCAACUCAGGAAGUGCAUGGAAUACUCGCAGACUAGAGUACUGGAGAAGAGGGCGGAAUUCCCGGUGUAGAGGUGAAAUUCGUAGAUAUCGGGAGGAACACCAGUAGCGAAAGCGGCUCUCUUGACAGAUACUGACGCUCAGAUGCGAAAGCGUGGGGAGCAAACAGGAUUAGAUACCCUGGUAGUCCCACGCUGUAAACGAUGGGCACUAGAUGUCGGGGGCUUGACCCCUUCGGCGUCGCCGCUAACGCAUUAAGUGCCCCCGCCUGGGGACUACGGUCGCAAGACUA
rnacentral:rRNA from 1 species